UGUGGAGAGUUUGAUCCUGGCUCAGGAUAAACGCGGGCGGCGUGCCUAAAACAUGCAAGUCGUACGGUUUCGAGCUAGCUUGCUAGAUCGGGACAGUGGCAGACGGCUGAGUAACGCGUGGGUGACCUACCCUCGAGUGGGGAAUAACUGCUCGAAAGAGUGGCUAAUACCGCAUGUGCUUCUACGAGUAGAGUUGUGGAAGUAAAGCCCUUUGGGCGCUCGGGGACGGGCCUGCGUCCGAUUAGCUAGUUGGUGGGGUAAAGGCCUACCAAGGCUUCGAUCGGUAGCUGGUCUGAGAGGAUGAUCAGCCAGACUGGGACUGAGAUACGGCCCAGACUCCUAC
rnacentral:rRNA from 1 species